rnacentral:rRNA from 1 species
GCGGGGGGCGUGCCUAUACAUGCAAGUCGAGCGCAUGAAAUUAUUUGAUUCUCUUCGGAGUUGACGAUAAUGGAAUGAGCGGCGGACGGGUGAGUAACACGUAGGCAACCUGCCUGUAAGACUGGGAUAACUCGUGGAAACGCGAGCUAAUACCGGAUAACACUUUUCAUCUCCUGAUGAGAAGUUGAAAGGCGGCUUUUGCUGUCACUUACAGAUGGGCCUGCGGCGCAUUAGCUAGUUGGUAAGGUAACGGCUUACCAAGGCGACGAUGCGUAGCCGACCUGAGAGGGUGAUCGGCCACACUGGGACUGAGACACGGCCCAGACUCCUACGGGAGGCAGCAGUAGGGAAUCUUCCGCAAUGGACGAAAGUCUGACGGAGCAACGCCGCGUGAGUGAUGAAGGUUUUCGGAUCGUAAAACUCUGUUGUUAGGGAAGAACAAGUACUAUAGUAACUGAUAGUACCUUGACGGUACCUAACCAGAAAGCCACGGCUAACUACGUGCCAGCAGCCGCGGUAAUACGUAGGUGGCAAGCGUUGUCCGGAAUUAUUGGGCGUAAAGCGCUCGCAGGCGGUUCUUUAAGUCUGAUGUGAAAUCUUACGGCUCAACCGUAAACGUGCAUUGGAAACUGGGGAACUUGAGUGCAGAAGAGGAGAGUGGAAUUCCACGUGUAGCGGUGAAAUGCGUAGAGAUGUGGAGGAACACCAGUGGCGAAGGCGACUCUCUGGUCUGUAACUGACGCUGAGGAGCGAAAGCGUGGGGAGCGAACAGGAUUAGAUACCCUGGUAGUCCACGCCGUAAACGAUGAGUGCUAGGUGUUAGGGGGUUUCCGCCCCUUAGUGCUGAAGUUAACGCAUUAAGCACUCCGCCUGGGGAGUACGGCCGCAAGGCUGAAACUC